CAAUCUUUCCCUAAGGCAUAUUUGGCAGGGUCUAAUAUUUUAUUACUUAUAAUCUCAAGUCCAUACAGGGUGCUUUUUGAUGUCACCUCUAAUUAUAUUCACAUACUGAAGUACACAUGUUACCAGUUAUAAAGUUGUACUGACCUUUGUCAUUAAAAAAAAAAAACUAAAAGCUAAAAAAUGUGUUCAAAGGACUUUCACUUUCAAUUGGCAGAAAAUCUAGCCCAAACUCAUUUUAUAAAAGGAGCUGACUCACUCACUAAACUGAAAUACAUAGGAGAGGCCUGGUUUUCUCUCUGUUUCUCUCUUCUCCUUUGCUUCCUCUCUUCUUUCCUGUUUUCUCUCUUUUGCUCUCUCCACUGUUGCAUCUCUUCCAGGUCUCCAUCUGCCCUCAUACUUAUGCAGGUUUCCCAUCACAAGCAGAAGAUGGCUUCAGCAUUCUCAGAUCUCACAUCUUCUAAGAUUCAGUCUAGCAGGAGGGAGAAUUCUCCAGUUUCUUUCCAGCAUUUCUGGAUUUUUCAAGAGAACUUUGGAGUUCCUGGGGGAUGUGUUCUGGUGAUUCUUCCAGAAGAAGAGACAAGUUGGCAGAGAAGGACAGAGGAUGAAUCCUGGUAAGUGAUUCUUACGAAUAAGGGAACAUGCACUUUCUCAUCAGCCUGGAUUCCUUUUUUUUUUCCUCUAUAUCCUCUCACACAUUUCACAAUCAAGUUCACAGAGAUUGGCUUAGCUUUAUGUAGAGCUUUCAGAAUAAUGGGUAUUUGGUUUUGAAAGAUCCUUAUAGUUCCUCUUCACAGAUAUUUGUAAUGAACAGAAACUUGUUAUUUUCUCAGAAUAUUCUGACAGUAGAUUCUCUAACACUCCCCUCCAGUCCAAAUGCACAAAUAUGCAGUCUCACAUUUUUUUCCAUCAGAGCAGAGUGGAGUCAGGAAGUUCGUAGUAAUUUGCAGACAUAUACCAUCAGCUAACACAUCACUGCAAGCAGAAUACCCCUGAGGCAGGAAGGAACAGAUGCUGAUCACUGGGGUGAGGAUGUGGAAAGGGCUUAGUGACUGAAC
rnacentral:lncRNA from 1 species